rnacentral:rRNA from 1 species
AGACAUGCAAGUCGAGCGCUCAUUCGGUUGCAGCAAUGUAGCCGAAUGGGAGCGGCGCAAGGGUGCGUAACACGUGGGUAAUUUGCCAAAAAGUUUGGGAUAACUCGCUGAAAGGCGAGCUAAUACCGGAUGUGAUCAUCGGGCGGCAUCGUUUGAUGAUUAAAGUUGGGGACCGUAAGGCCUGACGCUUUUUGAUAAGCCCGCGGCCUAUCAGCUAGUUGGUGAGGUAACGGCUCACCAAGGCUAAGACGGGUAGCUGGUCUGAGAGGACGACCAGCCACACUGGAACUGAGACACGGUCCAGACACCUACGGGUGGCAGCAGUCGAGAAUUUUUCACAAUGGGCGAAAGCCUGAUGGAGCGACGCCGCGUGGGGGAUGAAUGGCUUCGGCCCGUAAACCCCUGUCAUUUGCGAACAAACCUUGCUAUUUAAAAGAUGGCGAGCUGAUUGUAGCGAAAGAGGAAGGGACGGCUAACUCUGUGCCAGCAGCCGCGGUAAUACAGAGGUCCCAAGCGUUGUUCGGAUUCACUGGGCGUAAAGGGUGCGUAGGUGGUGAGGUAAGUCGGAUGUGAAAGCUCCGAGCUCAACUCGGAAAUGGCAUUGGAAACUACCCUUGCUCGAGGGUUUGAGGGGGGA